AACGAACGCUGGCGGCAUGCCUAACACAUGCAAGUCGAACGAGACCUUCGGGUCUAGUGGCGCACGGGUGCGUAACGCGUGGGAACCUGCCCUUAGGUUCGGAAUAACUCCCCGAAAGGGGUGCUAAUACCGGAUAAUGUCUUCGGACCAAAGAUUUAUCGCCUUUGGAUGGGCCCGCGUUGGAUUAGCUAGUUGGUAGGGUAAAAGCCUACCAAGGCGACGAUCCAUAGCUGGUCUGAGAGGAUGAUCAGCCACACUGGGACUGAGACACGGCCCAGACUCCUACGGGAGGCAGCAGUGGGGAAUAUUGGACAAGGGGCGAAAGCCUGAUCCAGCAAGGCCGGGUGAGUGAUGAAGGCCUUAGGGUUGUAAAGCUCUUUUACCCGGGAGGAUAAUGACAGUACCGGGAGAAUAAGCUCCGGCUAACUCCGUG
rnacentral:rRNA from 1 species